rnacentral:snoRNA from 1 species
AAGUGUUCAAUGAUGAUUCUGAUUCCUGUGCCUGAUUUCCUUUUGGGUAAUGAAGGCAUCUUCAGUCACUACCUCUUCUGAGACACUU